GACAGAGGGUGCAAACGUUGUUCGGAGUUACUGGGCGUAAAGGGCGCGUAGGCGGCGAUCCAAGUUAGGCGUGAAAGCCCCGGGCUUAACCUGGGAAUUGCGCUUAAGACUGGACUGCUUGAGUGCGGGAGAGGUGAGUGGAAUUCCCAGUGUAGAGGUGAAAUUCGUAGAUAUUGGGAAGAACACCAGUGGCGAAGGCGGCUCACUGGCCCGCAACUGACGCUGAGGCGCGAAAGCGUGGGGAGCAAACAGG
rnacentral:rRNA from 1 species